UUGAUCGAAGAGUCCCAAACCAGUGGGACUCUUGACCUCGGUACCUAAAAUAUGAGGUACUUGUAAUCAGAGAAUCCUGAUUCUUGAUCACAGAGUCUCAGACACAUAGAACUCAUAGUCCACGAGCAUUAGGACUCUUCAUCAGUCAUCAGAUCAGAUAGGAACCUCUAAUGUGUGUGACUCCGCAGGUUCGAACCUAAGUCGGUAACACAGGAACCAAUUCCUGUACUAAUCGAAGUGACCAUCAAGAAAUGGUACCCAACAUCCAGAU
rnacentral:lncRNA from 1 species